AAUAUUGCAGCAGAGCCAUAUCUGUUAGACUCGAAAAGCGGCUGUGACUAUUGUGCGUAUCGGAGUAUCUGUGGAUUUGAUGCAAAGAUUCCGGGAUAUCAUUAUCAUGAGUUAGAAAAAAAUUUAAAGGACAAUGAUAUUCUUAAAAAAAUAAGUGAAGACUUAUAUAAAGGAGAGGUAAUUGAAAAACUAGAGAUAGAUAAUAAUAUAUUAGUGUGGAACCAAUAACUAAUAUCUAUAUAGACAAAGUAGAAAGGAGUAACCGAUCUAAGCUAGAAAUAGUUAAAUAAUAAGGAUAUGAAUUGAAACAUCUUAGUAAUAUCUAAUAGAACCAACAGGGAUAAUAAAAAUACCGGUGAGGGAAAUUAUUAUUAAGUAUAAAAGUAAUACCAUGAGGUAUGAAGAUAGUAGUGCUACUACUAAUACGAAUAAGAGAUAUUAAGUUAUAAGUACCGUGAGGGAAAGUGGUAAGGGAGUUGUUAUUGACCGCCCAAAGGUAUUUAAUACCUUAGGGCGGUGAGUAUAUAAUAUACCCUGUAUAAACACUGAUAUAAGGAGCAGCUAUAGUAUAGCGUACCUCUUGUAUAAUGGGUCAGUGAGUCAUAUUGAAUAGCGAAAUAAAUAAUUAUAUAUAAUAAGUAUAAGUUAUUGGAUAUGGACCCGAAAGUAUAUGAUCUAUACAUGGUCAGGUUAAAUAGUAGAGAGACCCGCCCUUAGGGGCGGGUGCUAGAUUAUUUAGACCGAACAGGUGGGUGUAGCAAUACCUUCUGAAGAACUGUGUAUCGUUGUGAAAGGCUAAUCUCAUAUACAGAUAGCUGGUUAUCCGUGAAAUAUAUAUUAGUAUAGCCUUUAUUAAUUAUUUACUUGGUAAAUCACUAGAUAUAUGUUGGGAGUAAAUAUAGAACUUAUCAACUGUAUCUAAUAUCUGAACAAGUUAACAUCUCACCUAUAAGAUGAGUGUAUAAUUAAAUAAAGAGUCAGUCUUUAUGCGAUAAGGUAUAAGGACCAAAAGGGAAUAGCCUAGACUGUGAAAUGAAGGUCCCUAAUUAUAGUUAAGUGGAUAUAAUCCCAUGGUAUUAACCAUACUCUAUUUAAGCAAUUAGUCAGUUGAUAUGAUAGUAAUCAUCUGUUAAUGAACGUGUAACAACACACUAAUCGAAUAUAAAUGAAUAGAGGAUGGGAGUAGAUAAUCGGGCCUAUAACUAUAGACCAAAUUACAGAUCCACCCGACCGGAGGUCGGGUGGAUGGUAACGGAUCAUUCUAUGUAUACAAUAGAACAGAUAAUGCUGACUUGAGUAACGUUAGAUAGUAUGAAACUAUCCCCAUAAUGCAUAAGGUAUUACUACUAAUUAACGGCCUCUAAUAUAUAAUAUGAAAAUAUUAUAUAGAUGAGUAAUAUAACUAGAAAUUAAUAUAACCGUACUGUAGUCCGACACUGGUGUGCAAUAUAAUUAAUAUAUAUAUAAUAAUAUAUAAUUAUAUAAUGGGUAUGAGAUAAUCCCUGUGAAUGAACUCGGCAAUUAAGGGUAUAACCUUUAUAAUUUAGUGCGACUGUUUACCAAAAACAUAGCCUACUGCUAACAUGGAAUGUAAGUAUAGUAGGUGAUACCUGCCCGGUGCUAGUAAGAUAAUUAAUAAUAUACUGGUUAACGGCGGUCUUAUCAUGAGGAUCCGAAGGUAGCGAAAUUCCUUGACGUAUAAUUGGCGUCCUGCAUGAAUGAUUACACGAUGCUAUAGAUGUAUCCACAGGGAGCUCAGUGAAAUAGUACUUGCAGUGUAGAUACUGUAUGUAGCAACAGGUUGACGAGAAGACCCUAUGCAGCUUUACUAUAAGACUAUAUUGUUACAAUAUUAUAAUUUAAGUAUAUAAAAUAAUUUAGCUUAUAUAUAUAAUAUAUUUAACUAACUAUACCUUCAGGUAUAGGACAUUAUAGUCUGGUUAGUUUCGAUGGGGCGUCGGCAUCACACAAAAUAACUGAUGUGUCUAACUGAUAAUUAAUAUAAACAUUCUAUUCAUUAUAUAAGAAUAUGAAUAUAAUAGUAUGACCAAGUACAGUAAGACUAGAUUGUAACUAGUACAUAAUAAUAUGUAUAUAACAUAUAUUAAAUGAUAUGGAUAAUAACCUAACUGUGCUAUGAUAAGGAGACUUACAAGUCGACUUAGUACGUAAGUAUAGUAUAAUGAACAGGUGAUUUCUUCAGCAUAGAGUGCCGAUAACGGAUCAAAGUUACGCUAGGGAUAAACUGUUAGUCCCUUUAUAUAGAGAUAUAUAGAAUAACAAUCGGGUGAAUUGCAAGAAUACCACCCACCUCCUUUGGAGGUGGGUGACAAUUUGCAGCGAAGUAUAUAUUAGCUUAAUAAUAAAAUAUUAUUUAGAUAUAUAAAC
rnacentral:rRNA from 1 species